CACAGACAGGAAGACACAAACAUCAAACAGGCAAUUUGAAGCCGCUGAAAAGAUGACUAGAUGUCCCUGAGCGUCCCUCAAACAGCAGGCCCUCCGAGACCUCGGAGACAGAGCUGGCUGCAGGUCCACUAAGCCCCUCAGCCCCAUAUGGUCUGGAGGCUUACGCGUCCAGGGGAGACAUGCGAAGAGAAGCCCAGAGGCUGGAUUCAUGGACAGGAAAGAAGAAGAAGAAGAAACAGGGAGGAGGGUAGUCCAACAAAAACAACGGGCCGAUAACAUGAAUGAUGAAACGAGAGAAGUAAGCGGGGACACGCGCUCAACGAAAAGAAGAGAAGAGUGAAGGAAAAAUGAAAAGAGCAGCACAAGGACUGAGUCACACAGCAGGACAGGAAGUCUUAGAUGGAGACACCCUUCCUUCCUGUCAGCGCACUGAUCGCCAACACUAGACACCAUUCACUCACAUGUCACAUGACACAUGUGACAAGAAUCACAGCAGACAGUGGCAUGCGUUGUACUUCUGGCAGUUUAUUUGAGCGGUACUCAAGUUUGUUUGAGUGUUGCCUGUGGUAACUUAUUUUAGUUAAAGUGUAUACAACUCUGGGCCAAGUCUGCACAGCUCUCACAUAACUGAAUUUUUUUUACAACUUUCUGUUUUUUGGUAUCAAUCUAAAAAAAA